rnacentral:rRNA from 1 species
ACGCUCGACACCUACGGAGGCAGCAGUGGGGAAUAUUGCACAAUGGGGGAAACCCUGAUGCAGCGACGCCGCGUGAGCGAAGAAGUAUCUCGGUAUGUAAAGCUCUAUCAGCAGGGAAGAAGAUGACGGUACCUGACUAAGAAGCACCGGCUAAAUACGUGCCAACAGCCGCGGUAAUCUGAGCGGGCGUGGCAAGGC